GUUUCACACAAAGUGAGUAAACGUAUUUAACUAUUCCAUGUUUUUUGGAGGCAUGCUUUGCUUGUCAAUUUUGUAAGAAAAGUGUUUUCAAUUGAUUUUACUGUAUAUUUCAGUGCUUUAUCUAUUCAUAUUACAAAACAAAUAUGGAAAUUAGAACAGUAAUUUGUCUUUGAAAUUUGAAUAUUACUAAGUGUAUUUUAGAUACCACUUGACACUUUAUGAAUUCCAUAUAAUCAAUAUCAUAUCAAAUAUUUAAUUGAAUAAUAUACUUAUGCUAAAUAAAAUUUCAGAUUAUAUAUACAUUGGUUGCUUUGAAGAUAGCCCUAAAAGGUUAUUGCCUGUCGGACCUUUUAAAACACGAAACUAUGAAAUGUCCGCCAAAAUCUGCUUUCACCACUGCAAAUCUACAAACUUGGAAUAUUUUGCAACAGAGGUAGGGCAUAGUUUUCAUAAACAUGCUUUUUUAUAUAGAUUAGUCAGUUGGAUUUCCCGUUUGAAUGGUUUUACACUAGUCAUUUUCUGGGUACUUUAUAGCGUGUUGUUCAGUGUGAGCCAAUGCUCCGCGUUAAAGACCGUACUUUGACCUAUAGUUGUUGAAUUUUAAUAAUCAUCACUUGGACGGUGAGUUGUCUCAUUGGCAUUCAUACCGUAUCUUCUUAUAUCUAUAAACACGUAUAUUAACUUAUAUUAACAUAAAAAAAAGCCAUUAAAUUGUGUUUGUGAAUUUAAACAUGCAAGUCGCACCAAUAUGACUAAAAGAAGACUUACACAUGUAUAUUGUUUUUUUUCACAUGGGUUCGAUUCGUGUUCAAACCAUUUGACAGUUAGUAAAAUUUCCUAAUGUUGACAUGUUAAUAUUAACUUCACUACUAAAAGCCAUUGUAGCUAGCGUAUGACCAAACACUGUUUAAAAAAAAGUUUACUCGAUGAAAUGGUAACACAAAUACAAUAACUUUAAUCUUCAUAUCUUGAAAGUCUAUUAAUUUUGUUUGUUUACGUUUAAUUACAGUACGGAAACGAAUGUUUUUGUGGUCAUGGGAUAAAAAUAGGUUCCAAACAGUAUAAAAGAAAAGCGGAAAAAGAUUGCAACAAAAAAUGCAAGGGUCAUGUUACAAUGAAAUGCGGUGGUAGAUGGAGAGCUUCUGUUUACAAAAUAAAUAGAGAUGGUGAGUACAUGUAUUGCUUCCAAAAAAGUUCAUUUAAAGAUUUUAGAGCUUGUUUAACACGUCAAUGUUUGUAUUAUUCAAAUUACGCAAAUUGUGAGUACACCACGUCUUGUCCAUCGUCAUUUGUGUGUGUAUAGUACUGUUUGCGUCCUUUUAGUCUCUUAAAACAAGCAAUACCGUAAACAGACACAAAAACAAUAAACAAUUCCCAAUGUCCCCAUGUUGCAAAUAAUUUAUCAAUCGAAAGGAAACUACAAAAGUUAGUUUGGGUUCUUUAAAAUAUGUUAAAAAUAUCUAAGAAAAUGAAAGGUUGAUUGUGAAUAUAAUGCAUAUCCCAAUAAUUCAUAAUUCAUCACAUACGUUAUUUGUUGUUUUAUUGCUUUGCAUUGUUUGUUUCUGGUGCCGUUAAAUGGUGCUUAAUUUGACACUCAAAUCAUUACGUUAAGACAUUUAAGGAAAUAAAUAAUGCACUACGUUUUCAUAUAUUUUCUAACCAUUAUAUACUUUUUACUUCAAGAUCAUCAGUCAACGACGUCAAUCCAUACCCCAACAACUCCGAAACGAGAUGAAUUUGUUAAAGGUAAACCGCAUAUUUGUACCAAGUCAGUAAUAUGGCAGUUGUUAUCUUAUAGAACGUUUCUGUAUGUGUUACAUUGUCGGUUUUGUUUUUGUUGCACUUUUUUUUGUUUUCCUAUUAUAGGUUACUUGUGUUUCCCUUGGUUUAAGUUUGUAACCCGGAUUUGUUUUCUUUCAAUCAAUUAUGACUUUCGAACAGCGGUAUACUACUGUUGCCUUUAUUAGUUACCAAUAAGCAUUAUAAAAAUAAAACCUCUAAACAUAUAACCUAUCAACGUAUUCCGAGAUAUAACACCAGUGACGAUUGUAACUGGUUUUGUUUACUUUCGAUUAUUUACCAGAAAAACAUAUAUAUGUAAUAAUAUGGUUUAAUUGUUUCCAGUGACGAACUUUUUCAGACUUUGUUUUUCUAAUUUAAAAGUUAAUGAACCAACAAACAUGACGUAAUCCAAAAGAAACGUUGUACAUCUAAAAACUUAAAUGAAACGGUUUCUUUGUCCAAUGCAAGUAUUUUUAGAGCAGUAAAUAAACUCAUCAUAGAUACCAGAACUGAAAUUUUACAUUUCGCCAGACGCAUUUUUCAUUUACAAAAGACUUAUCGGUAAGGCUCAAAUCCAAAAGGUUUUUAGAAAGGACAAAUAAAGUACGAUGUCAACGAGAUUAGAAAGAUUAAAGUAUAUAGAGUUCGAUGCUUUCCUGAUUGAGCUUCGAUUAUCGAAAGAUAAGUUCAAUGAGAAAAAAACAACGGAUCGUUGUUAUUCUUGGUCGCAAAAAAGUAAAGUUGCGUGAACUUCAGUUUCUUAUUUAACUUUUGUCAUAUCGUUGUACCAGGCAGCGCAGUGUCAUUGAACCAAUCAAUCUUGGCUCAUAAUCCAUAUAUCAGCUGGAUUAAAAGAUGUUUUGCAAGUUUGGUCAUCAUUUUUGAAUGAAUAUGACGGGAAAUAUUAUGCAAAUAAAUUUAAGAAUGAAAAUGGGAAACCAUAAGUCAAUGAGACAACAACCCUACCUAAGAUCAAAUUACAACCAAAGGCCAUCAAUGGGUAUUCAACGCUGUUGUAAAUUUGUGCACUGGGGGCUUUCAAAGUAAAGAAAUAGUGUUACUAUUGUAUAAAGAGGGUUUAUAAAAGUUACCAGUUAUUUCUAGCAUGACACAGAAAUUACAAUAAACGCAUAGAUAAAAUCACGCACCCGGAUGCGGGCUUCAGCUGUCGCCUUAAUAAUAAUAACAAUGAAUAAUAGUUAGUUCACUGAAGGUUCAGCAAAAAUAGACGUCAUACUAAACUCCAAAAAAUAAAUGAAUUAAAAUUAAAAAAUCAUACAAAGCUAACAAAUGUGUCGGGGUUAAAAUGUUUUGCGAGAUAUCCCCCUCCCACUAUACCUUCACCCAAUGUAGACCCCUGGUUGGCCCCCAAAAAAGCAGUUUUACUAAAUUGUGAAAAUAUUAUCGUUUAGCUAUUUACUGGAAAGUAGAAUGCUUCUGCUACAUAAAUAUGGGCUAUUUUUGACAAUACAAUGCAC
rnacentral:lncRNA from 1 species